CUUUGUUGACAGCUGAAUCCCCGCCUCCCUAGCAGUAUCCAGUGAAUGUUGCAAAGAGUCAUUUGAUGGGAAUCCUCUUUUAAGUCUCAACACUUACUGGAAAUGACUAUCUCACCAAACUUGUGAUCCUGAGAGCCAAUGUGCGAGGACCGAAGAUGUCGGUGAGCGAGCAUGAGAAUCGCAAAUCCCGCAACCAGGGUCCGACGAACACGCUACUGUUCCACAAAGCCUCACACCCGGACAGCGUCCUCAGCCAGCUGGAUAGCCUGCGCAGGCAGCACCUCUUCACCGACGUAACCCUGCGGGCGGGCAGCAGCUCCUUCCUCUGCCACCGGGCUGUGCUGGCGGCCUGCAGCCGCUACUUCGAGGCCAUGUUCAGCAGCGGCCUGCGGGAGAGCACGGCCGGCGAGGUGGACUUCCGUGACAGCAUCCACCCUGAGGUGCUGGAGCUGCUGCUCGACUACGCCUACUCAUCGCGGCUGGCCAUCAGCGAGGAGAAUGCCGAGUCCCUGCUGCAGACUGGUGACAUGUUGCAGUUCCACGACGUACGGGAAGCCGCCUCUGAGUUCCUGGAAAAGAACCUGCGUGCCGCCAACUGCCUACGGCUGCUGCUGUUGUCGGAUGCGCACCAGUGCCGGGGCCUCUACCAGCAGGCCUGGCGCAUGUGCUUGUCCCACUUUGAGGCCUGCGCCGAGGCAGCUGACAGCGAGGACUUUUGUGGCCUGCCUGAGGCCAAGCUAGCCGAGCUGCUGGCCUGCGAUGAGUUGGAGGUGGACGACGAGCGGGUGGUGCACCGGGCCCUCAUGAGGUGGGUGCAGCACGAUGCCGAGGCCCGGCACCCUGCCUUGCCCCGGCUCCUGCGCCACGUCCGGCUCGCGCUGCUGCCGCCUAGCUACCUUGAGCGGGUGGUGGCCCGUGACCAGCUGGUGGAGGGCAACGAGCAGAGCAUGCGGCUGGUCGACCAAGCCCGGCGCUGCCAACGGCUGCGGCUGCUGCCCGACGACCAACGGGCGGCGGCCAGCCCCUGUGCCCGCCCGCGCCGGGCCGGGCACACACUGCUGAUCCUGGGCGGCCGCACCUUCAUGUGCGACAAGAUCUACCAGCUGGACCAGCGUGCCCGCCGCAUCGUGCCGCGGGCUGAGCUGCCCAGCCCGCGCAAGGAGUUCAGCGCCUGCGCGGUAGGGUGCAAAGUCUACGUCAGCGGAGGGCGCGGCUCCGAGAAUGGCGUCUCGCGGGAUGUCUGGGUCUACGACACGGCGGCCGGCGAGUGGAGCAAGGCGGCGCCGAUGCUGGUGGCGCGCUUUGGCCAUGGCUCGGCCGAGCUGCUGGGCUCGCUGUAUGCGGUUGGCGGUCACACUGCGGUCGUGGGUGUCUUCCCGGCCUCACCGUCUGUCUCGCUCAAGCAGGUGGAGCGCUAUGAGCCGACUGCCAAUGCCUGGGCCAUGGCGGCACCGCUGCGGGACGGCGUCAGCAACGCUGCCGUGGUCAGCGCGCGGCUGCGCCUGUAUGUCAUUGGCGGCGCCGGCCCGAGGCGGGAACGGGCGCCCACCGUCCAGUGCUACGACCCGGCCGACGACCAGUGGGUGGUGGCGGCCGCAUGCCCGCAGGCCUGGCGAUACACGGCUGCUGCCGUGCUCGGCAGCCAGAUCUUCAUCAUGGGCGGCGACACGGAGUUCACGGCGGCCUCGGCCUACCGCUUUGACUGCGACACCAACCAGUGGACCCGGGUGGGCGACAUGACGGCGAAGCGCAUGAGCUGCCACGCCGUGGCCUCGGGCAACAAGCUGUACGUGGUGGGCGGCUACUUCGGCACGCAGCGCUGCAAGAGCCUCGACUGCUACGACCCGGCCUCGGACACCUGGAGCAGCAUCACCACGGUGCCCUACUCGCUGAUCCCCACCGCCUUCGUCAGCACCUGGAAGCACUGCGACCUGCUGGACGCCGACUAGCAGGAGAGGCAGAGGGUCCACUCAACACCUCAACAGCUGCUUUGAAUGGGUAAAGCUAUCAUGAAUCUUCACCUCAAGCUUUUGGCACCUAUUCCUCCUAAGAUCUUGGACAAAGACUUCUCUUGGCCCGUGAGUCUUUCAGAGCAGAAAGCUGCCAAAUCUGUGUUUCGGGCUUCUGAUGAAUAUCACUGUCAUUGCAG